GACGAACGCUGGCGGCGUGCUUAACACAUGCAAGUCGAACGGAAAGGCCCUGCUUUUGUGGGGUGCUCGAGUGGCGAACGGGUGAGUAACACGUGAGUAACCUGCCCUUGACUUUGGGAUAACUUCAGGAAACUGGGGCUAAUACCGGAUAGGAGCUCCUGCUGCAUGGUGGGGGUUGGAAAGUUUCGGCGGUUGGGGAUGGACUCGCGGCUUAUCAGCUUGUUGGUGGGGUAGUGGCUUACCAAGGCUUUGACGGGUAGCCGGCCUGAGAGGGUGACCGGCCACAUUGGGACUGAGAUACGGCCAAGACCCCCACGGGGGGCAGGAGGGGGGAAUAUUGCACAAUGGGGGGAAGCCUGAUGCAGAAACGCCGGGUGGGGGAUGCCGGCCUUCGGGUUGUAAACCGCUUUCGCCUGUGACGAAGCGUGAGGGACGGGAAUGGGAAAAGAAGCACCGGCUAACUACGU
rnacentral:rRNA from 1 species